AGUGAACGCUGGCGGUAGGCCUAACACAUGCAAGUCGAACGGCAGCACAGUAAGAGCUUGCUCUUACGGGUGGCGAGUGGCGGACGGGUGAGGAAUACAUCGGAAUCUACUUUUUCGUGGGGGAUAACGUAGGGAAACUUACGCUAAUACCGCAUACGACCUACGGGUGAAAGCAGGGGAUCUUCGGACCUUGCGCGAUUGAAUGAGCCGAUGUCGGAUUAGCUAGUUGGCGGGGUAAAGGCCCACCAAGGCGACGAUCCGUAGCUGGUCUGAGAGGAUGAGCAGCGACACUGGAACUGAGACACGGUCCAGACUCCUACGGGAGGCAGCAGUGGGGAAUAUUGGACAAAGGGCGCAAGCCUGAUCCAGCCAUACCGCGUGGGUGAAGAAGGCCUUCGGGUUGUAAAGCCCUUUUGUUGGGAAAGAAAAGCAGCAGGUUAAUACCCCGCUGUUCUGACGGUACCCAAAGAAUAAGCACCGGCUAACUUCGUG
rnacentral:rRNA from 1 species